CUACGGGGUGCUGCAGUGAGGAAUAUUGCACAAUGGGGGGAACCUUGAUGCAGCAACGCCGCGUGGAGGAUGACGCAUUUCGGUGUGUAAACUCCUUUUAUAUGUCAAGAAAAUGACGGUAGCAUAUGAAUAAGCACCGGCUAACUCCGUGCCAGCAGCCGCGGUAAUACGGAGGGUGCAAGCGUUACUCGGAAUCACUGGGCGUAAAGGACGCGUAGGCGGGUUGGAAAGUCAGGUGUGAAAUCCUACAGCUUAACUGUAGAACUGCACUUGAAACUUCUAAUCUAGAGUAUGGGAGGGGGAGAUGGAAUUAGUGGUGUAGGGGUAAAAUCCGUAGAUAUCACUAGGAAUACCUAAAGCGAAGGCGAUCUCCUGGAACAUUACUGACGCUAAGGCGUGAAAGCGUGGGGAGCAAACAGGAUUAGAUACCCCCGGUAGUC
rnacentral:rRNA from 1 species